AGGGUGUAAACGCUGCAGACUUGGUGUUGGGGGCCCUUUGGGGGCAUUCAGUGCCGGAGAGAAGUUGUUAAGUCUGCUACUUGGGGAGUACGUCCGCAAGGAUGAAACUUAAAGGAAUUGGCGGGGGAGCACCGCAACGGGAGGAGCGUGCGGUUUAAUUGGAUUCAACACCGUAAACUCACCAGGGAAGACUGUUACAUGAAGGCCGAGAUGAAGACUCUGCUAGAUUUUUCAGAGAGGAGGUGCAUGGCGUCAGUGACU
rnacentral:rRNA from 1 species